GACGAACGCUGGCGGCGUGCUUAACACAUGCAAGUCGAGCGGUAAGGCCUUUCGGGGUACACGAGCGGCGAACGGGUGAGUAACACGUGGGUGAUCUGCCCUUCACUUCGGGAUAAGCCUGGGAAACUGGGUCUAAUACCGGAUAUGACCUCCUAUCGCAUGGUGGGUGGUGGAAAGAUUUAUCGGUGCAGGAUGGGCCCGCGGCCUAUCAGCUUGUUGGUGGGGUAAUGGCCUACCAAGGCGACGACGGGUAGCCGACCUGAGAGGGUGACCGGCCACACUGGGACUGAGACACGGCCCAGACUCCUACGGGAGGCAGCAGUGGGGAAUAUUGCACAAUGGGCGAAAGCCUGAUGCAGCGACGCCGCGUGAGGGAUGACGGCCUUCGGGUUGUAAACCUCUUUCAGCAGGGACGAAGCGCAAGUGACGGUACCUGCAGAAGAAGCACCGGCUAACUACGUG
rnacentral:rRNA from 1 species